GACGAACGCUGGCGGCGUGCCUAAUACAUGCAAGUAGAACGCAGUUGCGAACGGGUGAGUAACGCGUAGGUAACUGCCUCAUAGCGGGGGAUAACUAUUGGAAACGAUAGCUAAUACCGCAUACCAUCAGAUGUGCCCAGAUGGGAUUAGCUAGUUGGUGGGGUAACGGCUCACCAAGGCGACGAUCCCUAGCUGGUCUGAGAGGAUGACCAGCCACACUGUAACUGAGACACGGUCCAGACUCCUACGGGAGGCAGCAGUAGGGAAUCUUCGGCAAUGGACGGAAGUCUGACCGAGCAACGCCGCGGGAGUGAAGAAGGUUUUCGGAUCGUAAAGCUCUGUUGUUAGAGAAGCGGUAACUAACCAGAAAGGGACGGCUAACUCCGUGCCAGCAGCCGCGGUAAUAC
rnacentral:rRNA from 1 species